rnacentral:rRNA from 1 species
GACGAACGCUGGCGGCGUGCUUAACACAUGCAAGUCGAACGGAAAGGCCCUGCUUUUGUGGGGUGCUCGAGUGGCGAACGGGUGAGUAACACGUGAGUAACCUGCCCUUGACUUUGGGAUAACUUCAGGAAACUGGGGCUAAUACCGGAUAGGAGCUCCUGCUGCAUGGUGGGGGUUGGAAAGUUUCGGCGGUUGGGGAUGGACUCGCGGCUUAUCAGCUUGUUGGUGGGGUAGUGGCUUACCAAGGCUUUGACGGGUAGCCGGCCUGAGAGGGUGACCGGGACACAUUGGGACUGAGAUACGGCCCAGACUCCUACGGGAGGCAGCAGUGGGGAAUAUUGCACAAUGGGCGGAAGCCUGAUGCAGCAACGCCGCGUGCGGGAUGACGGCCUUCGGGUUGUAAACCGCUUUCGCCUGUGACGAAGCGUGAGUGACGGUAAUGGGUAAAGAAGCACCGGCUAACUACGUG